AUGGGAGGGGGGAAGUACACAUGGUCCCAUAAGCAAAAGCAUCCUACUUUGGAGAAAUUAGACAGAAUCCUUGUGAAUUUUGAGUGGGAGGACUUAUUCCUUUUGGUGUCUGUUCGUAAGCUGGUGAGAGAUACCUCAUAUCACAACCCAUUGCUUUUGACCACGGAACCUGUGAAAACAAGCCCUUCCCAUAAUCGGGAGUUCAGAUUUGAGUUGAGCUGGCUCAAGAAUGAAGAGUUUUAUAUCAAAGCUAAGAAUAUGUGGGAGCAACCUGUGAAUUCUGAGGAUCCCAUUGAUAUCUUGAAUAUCAAGCUCAAGCGUAUCAAGAAAUACUUCAAGGGAUGGGGGGCUCACUCCUUUGGACAUGCUAGAAAAAGGAAAAAGCAUAUUAAAGAAGAAUUAGAGAGGAUUGAGAGGUUGGAAGAAAGCGGUCCCCUUGAUCCAGAAGUUUAUGAAGAAAGGACCUCCUUGUGUGCGGAGUUGAAUGACCUUCUAGUUAUGGAAGAACCGUUCUAG
rnacentral:rRNA from 1 species